rnacentral:rRNA from 1 species
GACGAACGCUGGCGGCGUGCUUAACACAUGCAAGUCGAACGGAAAGGCCCUGCUUUUGUGGAGUGCUCGAGUGGCGAACGGGUGAGUAACACGUGAGUAACCUGCCCUUGACUUUGGGAUAACUUCAGGAAACUGGGGCUAAUACCGGAUAGGAGCUCCUGCUGCAUGGUGGGGGUUGGAAAGUUUCGGCGGUUGGGGAUGGACUCGCGGCUUAUCAGCUUGUUGGUGGGGUAGUGGCUUACCAAGGCUUUGACGGGUAGCCGGCCUGAGAGGGUGACCGGCCACAUUGGGACUGAGAUACGGCCCAGACUCCUACGGGAGGCAGCAGUGGGAAUAUUGCACAAUGGGCGGAAGCCUGAUGCAGCAACGCCGCGUGCGGGAUGACGGCCUUCGGGUUGUAAACCGCUUUCGCCUGUGACGAAGCGUGAGUGACGGUAAUGGGUAAAGAAGCACCGGCUAACUACGUG